CUCAAAACAAGGUAACCAGACUCUCUAGUCACUCAAACAGGUAACCAGACUCUCUAGACACUCACAAUGGUAACCAGACUCUCAGGUAACCAGACUCUCUAGUCACUCAAAUAGGUAACCAGACUCUCAGGUAACCAGACCCUCUAGUCACUCAAAACAGGUAACCAGACUCUCAGGUAACCAGACUCUCUAGUCACUCAAACAGGUAACCAGACUCUCUAGUCACUCAAACACCAGGUAACCCAAGAACUCUCAGGUAAACAGACUCUAGUCACUCAAACAAGGU
rnacentral:lncRNA from 1 species